rnacentral:rRNA from 1 species
CCUACGGGAUGCAGCAGCGGGGAAUAUUGCACAAUGGGCGCAAGCCUGAUGCAGCCAUGCCGCGUGUAUGAAGAAGGCCUCCGGGUUGUAAAGUACUUUCAGCGGGGAGGAAGGCGAUAAGGUUAAUAACCUUGUCGAUUGACGUUACCCGCAGAAGAAGCACCGGCUAACUCCGUGCCAGCAGCCGCGGUAAUACGGAGGGUGCAAGCGUUAAUCGGAAUUACUGGGCGUAAAGCGCACGCAGGCGGUCUGUCAAGUCGGAUGUGAAAUCCCCGGGCUCAACCUGGGAACUGCAUUCGAAACCGGCAGGCUGGAGUCUUGUAGAGGGGGGUAGAAUUCCAGGUGUAGCGGUGAAAUGCGUAGAGAUCUGGAGGAAUACCGGUGGCGAAGGCGGCCCCCUGGACAAAGACUGACGUUCAGGUGCGAAAGCGUGGGGAGCAGACAGGAUUAGAUACCCCUGUAGUC